rnacentral:rRNA from 1 species
CAGUAGCCGCGGUAAUACAGAGGGUGCGAGCGUUAAUCGGAUUUACUGGGCGUAAAGCGUGCGUAGGCGGCUUCUUAAGUCGGAUGUGAAAUCCCUGAGCUUAACUUAGGAAUUGCAUUCGAUACUGGGAAGCUAGAGUAUGGGAGAGGAUGGUAGAAUUCCAGGUGUAGCGGUGAAAUGCGUAGAGAUCUGGAGGAAUACCGAUGGCGAAGGCAGCCAUCUGGCCUAAUACUGACGCUGAGGUACGAAAGCAUGGGGAGCAAACAGGAUUAGAUACCCCCGUAGUUCCUGUCUCUUAUAA